GAAUUCGCCCUUAGAGUUUGAUCCUGGCUCAGAACGAACGCUGGCGGCGCGCCUAACACAUGCAAGUCGAACGAGCGAGAGAGAGCUUGCUUUCUUGAGCGAGUGGCGAACGGGUGAGUAACGCGUGAGGAACCUGCCUCAAAGAGGGGGACAACAGUUGGAAACGACUGCUAAUACCGCAUAAGCCCACGGCUCGGCAUCGAGCAGAGGGAAAAGGAGCAAUCCGCUUUGAGAUGGCCUCGCGUCCGAUUAGCUGGUUGGUGAGGUAACGGCCCACCAAGGCGACGAUCGGUAGCCGGACUGAGAGGUUGAACGGCCACAUUGGGACUGAGACACGGCCCAGACUCCUACGGGAGGCAGCAGUGGGGAAUAUUGCACAAUGGGGGAAACCCUGAUGCAGCGACGCCGCGUGGAGGAAGAAGGUCUUCGGAUUGUAAACUCCUGUUGUUGAGGAAGAUAAUGACGGUACUCAACAAGGAAGUGACGGCUAACUACGUGCCAGCAGCCGCGGUAAAACGUAGGUCACAAGCGUUGUCCGGAAUUACUGGGUGUAAAGGGAGCGCAGGCGGGAAGACAAGUUGGAAGUGAAAUCCAUGGGCUCAACCCAUGAACUGCUUUCAAAACUGUUUUUCUUGAGUAGUGCAGAGGUAGGCGGAAUUCCCGGUGUAGCGGUGGAAUGCGUAGAUAUCGGGAGGAACACCAGUGGCGAAGGCGGCCUACUGGGCACCAACUGACGCUGAGGCUCGAAAGUGUGGGUAGCAAACAGGAUUAGAUACCCUGGUAGUCCACACUGUAAACGAUGAUUACUAGGUGUUGGAGGAUUGACCCCUUCAGUGCCGCAGUUAACACAAUAAGUAAUCCACCUGGGGAGUACGACCGCAAGGUUGAAACUCAAAGGAAUUGACGGGGGCCCGCACAAGCAGUGGAGUAUGUGGUUUAAUUCGACGCAACGCGAAGAACCUUACCAAGUCUUGACAUCCUGCGACGGUGCUGGAAACAGUACUUUCCUUCGGGACGCAGAGACAGGUGGUGCAUGGUUGUCGUCAGCUCGUGUCGUGAGAUGUUGGGUUAAGUCCCGCAACGAGCGCAACCCUUAUGGUCAGUUACUACGCAAGAGGACUCUGGCCAGACUGCCGUUGACAAAACGGAGGAAGGUGGGGAUGACGUCAAAUCAUCAUGCCCUUUAUGACUUGGGCUACACACGUACUACAAUGGCGUUAAACAAAGAGAAGCAAGACCGCGAGGUGGAGCAAAACUCAGAAACAACGUCCCAGUUCGGACUGCAGGCUGCAACUCGCCUGCACGAAGUCGGAAUUGCUAGUAAUCGCAGAUCAGCAUGCUGCGGUGAAUACGUUCCCGGGCCUUGCACACACCGCCCGUCA
rnacentral:rRNA from 1 species